CCCUUAGAUGUUCUGGGCCGCACGCGCGCUACACUGAUGCAUUCAACGAGCCUAUCCUUGACCGACAGGUCCGGGUAAUCUUUGAAUCUGCAUCGUGACGGGGAUAGAUUAUUGCAAUUAUUAAUCUUCAACGAGGUAUGCCUAGUAGGCGCAAGUCAUCAGCUUGCGUCGAUUACGUCCCUGCCCUUUGUACACACCGCCCGUCGCUCCUACCGAUUGGGUGUGCUGGUGAAAUGUUCGGAUCGGCCGUUUGUCGCGGUUUCCGCGUCAUGUGGCUGAGAAGUUCAUUAAACCCUCCCACCUAGAGGAAGGAGAAGUCGUAACA
rnacentral:rRNA from 1 species